AUUGAACGCUGGCGGCAGGCCUAACACAUGCAAGUCGAGCGGAUGAAGGGAGCUUGCUCCUGGAUUCAGCGGCGGACGGGUGAGUAAUGCCUAGGAAUCUGCCUGGUAGUGGGGGAUAACGUCCGGAAACGGGCGCUAAUACCGCAUACGUCCUGAGGGAGAAAGUGGGGGAUCUUCGGACCUCACGCUAUCAGAUGAGCCUAGGUCGGAUUAGCUAGUUGGUGGGGUAAAGGCCUACCAAGGCGACGAUCCGUAACUGGUCUGAGAGGAUGAUCAGUCACACUGGAACUGAGACACGGUCCAGACUCCUACGGGAGGCAGCAGUGGGGAAUAGUGGACAAUGGGCGAAAGCCUGAUCCAGCCAGGCCGCGUGUGUGAAGAAGGUCUUCCGAUUGUAAAGCACUUUAAGUUGGGAGGAAGGGCAGUAAGUUAAUACCUUGCUGUUUUGACGUUACCAACAGAAUAAGCACCGGCUAACUUCGUG
rnacentral:rRNA from 1 species